rnacentral:RNase_P_RNA from 1 species
UUGCCCCCCUAGGGAAUCGAGAAGUGAUUGCAAGGAGUGAUCCUUGAGGAAAGUCCGGGCUCCCUCUUCCUGAAUCGCUGGGUAAUACCCAGUACCAGUUUGACUGGGGAGGCUAGUGCCACAGAAAUAGACCUCUUUUAGCCGACUCGACUAAAAAAAGGGUGCAAAGGAAGGGAAGCAAGCCUUCAGGGUAAGCUGGCUCUUCCAGGAACGGUGGAAACCGAAUCCUCGGUAUACCCCGAUUGGGAGCAAGGCUUCGUGCCGCUAGAAAGGUAUGGCAAUAUACCUUCCAGAUAGAUAAUCACAUUUAAACAGAACCCGGCUUAUCGGAACGACCCCAGGGGGGCGUGGCUUGCCCAAGAGUCGUCUCAUGGAUAUACUAAGAAAGAGUUGGUGCUUGGGGAGACGACUUUGUCCCCUAAGAUUCUACUAGCUUGGAGACCUGG